GGUGCUGUGCAGAGACGUCUAGCCAUGGAACAACUGUUUGGUGCAGAGUAGACUUGGAGUCAUGGAGCUUUUGCAGGUCCAUCGAACUAGAUUCUGGUGAAGACCUGGCAGCCUUGGAUCUUAGAGAUGACAGGACACAAAGAGGGAAGUCCACCGAGGUCCUUCAAAGGACUCAGGCUUUCAAAGGUGGCAGCAAAGAUCUGUUGAAACCUUAAUCCUCAGCAUUCCAGAACACAGCUUCCUCAACGGCCAUCCCAUCUGUAAUUAGUUUGGAUGAAGUCUUCCUGGGAUAGGAUGGUCUGUGGUGUGAUGCCCCAAAGCAUGUCAUCCAAACACAUGAGGAAUCAGGAUGGGCUGGGGCCCCUGAGGUCUGCCACUGACUUCACAGCUCUGAGUCUUCUCCACUGUCCUAUUUGCUGGCUGGUAGGAGAGAUAAGUCAAGGCCGUAUUUCAAGGAUGGUGGCAUGACUGCUUCAAGGACAGCAUGGAAUAUGGCGAGACAGUACGUUUGGUAUAUUUGCAGCUGCCUAGAGACGAUCUGAACAUUCCUAAUGAGCUUGAGGGGACAAUGACCAACCAAAUGAUGAGCAGGGAGCACCUCCACCAAGAACAGGAAAGCCUCAAGAGAAACAAAGUGCAAUAACAGCUUCCUCUGAACAUGGUGGUCUCCCAGCCUCCCUCAAUUGCUGUCCCUCUUCAAACAGAACACACUCAAACCCUUCAUGUCUCCAUCCCGUGGCACUGGGCUUGAUCAGGAUGCAUUUCAAUCA
rnacentral:lncRNA from 1 species